UGGUCAUCUGAUUUGGUAGAAGCUAAGUAUUAACCAUAGUGUGAUGGAAGGACUGUGUAAAAUCAGCUCUCCCGCCAUCUUAUUUUCCCCUCUGUGUUCUUUCCUAAAAUGGUGAUGGGAAACUGUAAUGUUGGGGAGGAUCAUGUCAAAGAUGUGCCACUCACACCCAGAGCCCCAGGGAUCGAAUCGUGAGACUGAUCUGUUUCAUAACUUUGCCCGAACCCGCCCAGAGAUGUCACCUCCUCGAGGACAACUCGAUCCUUUUCAUCACGACUAGCCUCUUCAUGUUUGUUGUAUUUCACAGGGACGUCCAAGCCAGCGUGGAAGAAUGAAGGACCGCACCACCAGGCAGAAACUAAAGGGAGCAACCAGGAGAAAUGGGUCUUGUGUUGGAAGCUAC